GUGAAGCCAUGGACUUUCAUUCUCUGCGCUCACUUAGUGCAUAAAGUUCAAGGCAAAACCUGGCCAAAUCUGAAAUUCUUGUCCAAAUACUGACCAGCAGCUUGAAUAUCUGUGUCAUGAGGAAAGGCUAGGUCUAAUGCGUCAGUCACACCUAGUGUGUGAGAGAUUGGUGUAUAUACCCUAUUUGAGAGAGAUUAAGUCUGGUCAGUUCUCUCAGUGCAGCCCGAGAAGAUUUUUACUUCAACCAAACUUGGUGGGGUCUGGAUCCAUGAGAGGACCUUCCCCCUUAUCAUAUGACUGCUUAGUUUGCUUAACAGCCUUUGGUGAGGAGUCUUACCAAAGGCUUUCUGAAAGUCCAGACUCAAUUUUCAGCCUCCUGAAAAAUGAAACAAGGCAAAAAAAAGGCUGGGCAAGGAGUCAUUAAGUCCAGAAGACGACACUGUCGGCCAGGAAGAAUUGUGGGCUUAUGUGAGGUGUAACUGGGAUUCAUUGUUUGUCUCUCUCCUUCAUUUUUGUGCCUGCAGAGAUUUAGCAUAAGCUCUUAUUCUCAACACUGUCAGCUCAGCCAUGAAGUCAAGUGUGUGUGCGUGCACACAGAUGCAUGCACAUCUCAGGAUAUUCAGCCGUGCCACUGAACAGAGGAUUAGUGGGUAGGAGAUGCUAGUGCUUCCACUCCUCACUGUAUUCAGGGUCACCUUAGUGACGUUUUAAAAGUGUCUGUAACGUAGAUGUGACUAGUACGGCACUGCUCAACCAGUAAGGGCAAGCUAACUACCCAGCUGACACCCAUCGCCUCCUCAAGACAGAGUAUUCACAAAGCAUCUGGCAGAACAAGAGCCCGCAACAUACUACCUCCAAGCCACUAGUCCAGCAACCAUUCUAUCUGAGGAAGAUUAACAUUAAAAAAGGAGAGGGAUCUUAGCAAAAGUAAAACCUUGUUUAAGUCAAGCAAUGUAUGGAUCACCAGUCAGCGUGUUGCUGUUUAUCAACUAUUAAUUAGCAGUUCUUAAUUUUAAAAAUAUAUAUUGGCCCAUAGGUUGCCAAAAUUAACUCCAGAAGACCUAAAACCGUAAACUAUUUUAGUACUUAGUGACGUGAAAUGGACAUUGCAGUAUAUUUUAAUUUAUGUCCUCCUCCUCAUAUGAGUUCUGCAAUGGCUGUCAGAUACAUGGCAAAAUGUAUGUUCUUCAAGGAGCGCCACUUACUCCAC